rnacentral:lncRNA from 1 species
GAUAUUUGAAAAUACAUCGCCAUGUGAGAGACGAAAACAUAUUCGUCACAAUAAAAACGUUACUUGAAGGCAAGUCCGGCCUAGUGCGUUUUAUAUGAUUGAACCCUAGUGCCUUGCGAUUGGUACGUAUUAGUUGUUUUUCCCAUAGCGAGAUAUCGAUGGAAGAUUGUGUGCCUAUAUUUUCAUUUACAUUUUUGAAUUUUCUAGAUUAAGUCUAGAUAGGAAAUUCAUAGAUAGAUAGAAUAUAAAUAUAUAGCAUGUUGAAUUUUCGUUUCGAGUUAUUCGGAAGAAACCAAGAAUCAAGACGAAGAAGCAAGACAAGACGGAGAACGACCAAAUGAUAAGACGGAGAAUGACCAACCGCAACACUGCCCUAGCUAAGUACCGACGUUGGUGGCUUGUUCCAGGCCAAGUGAGCCGCCCCACCCAUUUUUUACUUUGCAUCUUGCACGGUUAGCAAAUAUGUUUUUCUAUUAGACCAGUUAAUUAGGUUGCAGUAAAGUAUAUUUUUUUAGCAUUUAAGGAUAGGAGAUAUUAUCUAUGACAAAGUUCUUGGGAUUUUUUUAUGAAUUUUUGGACAUUUGGAAAUUUCGAGUAGUUCGGA